UACGUAGGUGGCAAGCGUUAUCCGGAAUUAUUGGGCGUAAAGCGCGCGUAGGCGGUUUCUUAAGUCUGAUGUGAAAGCCCACGGCUCAACCGUGGAAGGUCAUCGGGAAACUGGGUCACUUGAAUAUAGAAGAGGAAAGUGGAAUUCCAUGUGUAGCGGUGAAAUGCGUAGAUAUAUGGAGGAACACCAGUGGCGAAGGCGACUUUCUGGUCUAUUAUUGACGCUGAGGCUCGAAAGCAUGGGUAGCAAACAGGAUUAGAUACCCGUGUA
rnacentral:rRNA from 1 species